GUCUACGACCACACCACCCUGAACAAGCCCAAUCCUGUCUGAUCUUGGAAGUUAAGCAGAAUCGGGCCUGGUUAGUACUUGGAUGGGAGACCACCUAGGAAGACCAGGUGCCAGUAUCU
rnacentral:rRNA from 1 species